rnacentral:lncRNA from 1 species
UAGCUGGGACGACAGGUCUGUGAAUCGAGAAGUUACCAGAAGAGAAAUCCCAGGAGAGGACUGGGGCUGUUCCAGCUUGGGUGAAGGUCCAGGUGGCCAGGAGUUUGGAACACUAAGAUUGGCCUAGCCUGGGUCCCAAGCCCACGUUGGUGGUGGGGAUGAUGCGGCUCGGGAGGUGUCGAUCAAGUGUUACCAGAAAGUGGCAAGAAGGCUGGAAUACAGAUGUGUUGCUGACCAGCAAGCUCUGACCUUGUAUGAACAAAUACAGUAUCUAAAGGGAUGGCAGAGCAACCCAGUCAAAGGAACUGACUUCCUGAAUGAGCCUGCAUUCUAGAGCCACCCCAGCUCUGGAAUGCUCAUACCUAACU